CCUACGGGCGGCAGCAGUGAGGAAUAUUGGUCAAUGGGCGAGAGUCUGAACCAGCCAAGUCGCGUGAAGGAUGACUGCCCUAUGGGUUGUAAACUUCUUUUAUAAGGGAGUAAAACGAGGCAGUUGUGCAUUUUUACAUGACCUUUAUGAAUAAGGAUCGGCUAACUCCGUGCCAUCAGCCGCGGUAAUCCGGAGGAUCCGAGCGUUAUCCGGAUUUAUUGGGUUUAAAGGGCGCGUAGAUGGGAUUUUAAGUCACUUGUGAAAGUUUUGGGCUCAACCGUUAGAUUGCAAUUGAUACUGGCAGUCUUGAGUACAGUUGAGGUAGGCGGAAUUCGUGGUGGAGCGGUGAAAUGCUUAGAUAUCACGAAGAACCCCGAUUGCGAAGGCAGCCUACUAAACAGCAACUGACGCUGAGGCUCGAAAGUGUGGGUAUCAAACAGGAUUAGAUACCCUGGUAGUC
rnacentral:rRNA from 1 species